UUGUUUAAUAUACCACGCAAUCUUGUAUACCCAUUCUUAUGAUACACCAUACAAGAAUGCAUGGUAAAUUCAGUGAACUGCUCCUGAAUCGAAUGUACCUACUACUGCUAUUUCUAUUUAUUUAUAUUAACCGGCAGACAGUGGUGACUGAGUUUGUUGCGGCGCUUCUUCUCAGCACUUGCCAAAUGUUGGUCUCGAAGCGCUGGUAGGGUAAAAAGAUUAUGAGACAUGUAGAGGCUCCUUAAGAGCAUAUGACGAUUUGUAAGAACUAUUUAUUAGUCUAAACAAAUAAAGAAAUUUUGACUUUGACUUUGACUUUGAUCUACCGAUAGGUCGGGUGACGUAAUCUUGAAAUUCUUUUAGCCGGCGCGGAACUUCCGGAAGGUCGGGUGACGCCACGCCUCUUUGAACCGUGUUUACUUUGGCAGUUAUAUUCUAUAUUUAUUCGAUUCUAAAAUAUAUUCCCAAAAAUUUUAAAA